rnacentral:tRNA from 3 species
CGGGGUGUGGCGCAGCUUGGUAGCGCAUCUGCUUUGGGAGCAGAGGGUCGCAGGUUCGAAUCCUGUCACCCCGACCA